rnacentral:rRNA from 1 species
UACGUAGGGUGCAAGCGUUAAUCGGAAUUACUGGGCGUAAAGCGUGCGCAGGCGGUGAUGUAAGUCAGGUGUGAAAUCCCCGGGCUCAACCUGGGAACUGCAUCUGUGACUGCAUCGCUGGAGUACGGGAGAGGGGGAUGGAAUUCCGCGUGUAGCAGUGAAAUGCGUAGAUAUGCGGAGGAACACCGAUGGCGAAGGCAAUCCCCUGGGCCUGUACUGACGCUCAUGCACGAAAGCGUGGGGAGCAAACAGG